AAGGACUACUAGGGUAUCUAAUCCUGUUUGAUCCCCACGCUUUCGUGCCUCAGUGUCAAUACAUCCAUAGUAAGCUGCCUUCGCAAUUGGUGUUCUAUGUCAUAUCUAAGCAUUUCACCGCUACAUGACAUAUUCCGCUUACCUCUAGAUGAUUCAAGAUCGAUAGUAUCAAUGGCAGUUUCCGAGUUAAGCUCGAAGAUUUCACCGCUGACUUACCGACCCACCUACGCACCCUUUAAACCCAGUAAAUCCGGAUAACGCUUGCACCCUCCGUAUUACCGCGGCGGCUGGCAC
rnacentral:misc_RNA from 1 species